UACGGGGGGGGGCAAGCGUUGUUCGGAAUUACUGGGCGUAAAGGGCUCGUAGGCGGCCAACUAAGUCAGACGUGAAAUCCCUCGGCUUAACCGGGGAACUGCGUCUGAUACUGGAUGGCUUGAGGUUGGGAGAGGGAUGCGGAAUUCCAGGUGUAGCGGUGAAAUGCGUAGAUAUCUGGAGGAACACCGGUGGCGAAGGCGGCGUCCUGGACCAACACUGACACUGAUGAGCGAAAGCCAGGGGAGCAAACGGG
rnacentral:rRNA from 1 species